rnacentral:lncRNA from 1 species
CCAUGAUAUAGAGUCAAAAGCCUUCUCAAAAUCAAUGAGUAAUAAUAUACCAGGGAUAUCAUUUUCUUCUGUAAAUUGUAAAAUAUCAUAUAUAAUUAAAAAAAAAAAGAAGAUAUGGUAUGAUUGCCAAUGAGACAACUGUCCACAAGUGACCAAAAUGACACAGACAUUAACAACUAUAGGUCAUCGUACGGCCUUCAACAAUGAACAAAGCUUAUACCGCAUAGUCAGCUAUAAAAGGCCCCGAUAAGACAAUGUAAAACAAUUCAAACGAGAAAACUAACGGCCUUAUUUAUAUAUAUAAAAAAAAGACAAAAAACAAAUAUGUAACACAUAAACAAACGACAACCAC